AAUAGAUACCCAGGUAGUCCACGCCGUAAACGAUUAGUGCUAAGUGUUAGAGGGUUUCCGCCCUUUAGUGCUGCAGCUAACGCAUUAAGCACUCCGCCUGGGGAGUACGGCCGCAAGGCUGAAACUCAAAGGAAUUGACGGGGGCCCGCACAAGCGGUGGAGCAUGUGGUUUAAUUCGAAGCAACGCGAAGAACCUUACCAGGUCUUGACAUCCUCUGCCAACCCUAGAGAUAGGGCGUUCCCCUUCGGGGGACAGAGUGACAGGUGGUGCAUGGUUGUCGUCAGCUCGUGUCGUGAGAUGUUGGGUUAAGUCCCGCAACGAGCGCAACCCUUGAUCUUAGUUGCCCAGCAUUUAGUUGGGCACUCUAAGGUGACUGCCGGUGACAAACCGGAGGAAGGUGGGGAUGACGUCAAAUCAUCAUGCCCCUUAUGACCUGGGCUACACACGUGCUACAAUGGAUGGUACAAAGAGCUGCGAACCCGCGAGGGUGAGCGAAUCUCAUAAAGCCAUUCUCAGUUCGGAUUGUAGG
rnacentral:rRNA from 1 species